UACGUAGGGGGCUAGCGUUGCUCGGAAUCACUGGGCGUAAAGGGCGCGUAGGCGGCUUAUCAAGUCGGGGGUGAAAGCCCGUGGCUCAACCACGGAAUGGCCUUCGAUACUGGUAGGCUUGAGACCGGAAGAGGACAGCGGAACUGCGAGUGUAGAGGUGAAAUUCGUAGAUAUUCGCAAGAACACCAGUGGCGAAGGCGGCUGUCUGGUCCGGUUCUGACGCUGAGGCGCGAAAGCGUGGGGAGCAAACAGG
rnacentral:rRNA from 1 species